rnacentral:rRNA from 1 species
AGUUUGAUCCUGGCUCAGGAUGAACGCUGGCGGCGUGCCUAAUACAUGCAAGUCGAACGCUUUGUGGUUCAACUGAUCUGAAGAGCUUGCUCAGAUAUGACGAUGGACAUUGCAAAGAGUGGCGAACGGGUGAGUAACACGUGGGAAACCUACCUCUUAGCAGGGGAUAACAUUUGGAAACAGAUGCUAAUACCGUAUAACAAUGACAACCGCAUGGUUGUUAUUUAAAAGAUGGUUCUGCUAUCACUAAGAGAUGGUCCCGCGGUGCAUUAGCUAGUUGGUAAGGUAAUGGCUUACCAAGGCGAUGAUGCAUAGCCGAGUUGAGAGACUGAUCGGCCACAAUGGGACUGAGACACGGCCCAUACUCCUACGGGAGGCAGCAGUAGGGAAUCUUCCGCAAUGGGCGAAAGCCUGAUGGAGCAACGCCGCGUGUGUGAUGAAGGGUUUCGGCUCGUAAAACACUGUUGUAAGAGAAGAAUGACAUUGAGAGUAACUGUUCAAUGUGUGACGGUAUCUUACCAGAAAAGGAACGGCUAAAUACGUGCCAGCAGCCGCGGUAA